rnacentral:rRNA from 1 species
ACUCCUACGGGAGGCAGCAGUGGGGGAAUAUUGCACAAUGGGCGCAAGCCUGAUGCAGCCAUGCCGCGUGUAUGAAGAAGGCCUUCGGGUUGUAAAGUACUUUCAGCAGUGAGGAAGGUGGGUAUGUUAAUAGCAUACUCAUUUGACGUUAGCUGCAGAAGAAGCACCGGCUAACUCCGUGCCAGCAGCCGCGGUAAUACGGAGGGUGCGAGCGUUAAUCGGAAUUACUGGGCGUAAAGCGCAUGCAGGUGGUUUGUUAAGUCAGAUGUGAAAGCCCGGGGCUCAACCUCGGAAUUGCAUUUGAAACUGGCAAACUAGAGUACUGUAGAGGGGGGUAGAAUUUCAGGUGUAGCGGUGAAAUGCGUAGAGAUCUGAAGGAAUACCGGUGGCGAAGGCGGCCCCCUGGACAGAUACUGACACUCAGAUGCGAAAGCGUGGGGAGCAAACAGGAUUAGAUACCCUGGUAGCUCUGC